UAUUAACAAUUCCAUCUAUUUUACUGUUAAAAAUUAGCGUUACUAAUAAAAUAACUAAGCAGGUACACGUGACAUGUCACGUGUGCUUCAUUUUGACAUAUAGUAACUAAUUGUUAACAAUAAAAAAGAAUGACUUUUAAUA
rnacentral:pre_miRNA from 1 species